rnacentral:rRNA from 1 species
GGCUCAGAAUCAACGCUGGCGGCGUGCCUAACACAUGCAAGUCGAACGAGAAAGUGGAGCAAUCCACGAGUAAAGUGGCGACCGGGUGAGUAACACGUGACUAACCUACCUUCGAGUGGGGGAUAACAUCGGGAAACCGAUGCUAAUACCGCAUAACAUCGCAAGAUCAAAGCAGCAAUGCGCUUGAAGAGGGGGUCGCGGCUGAUUAGCUAGUUGGCGGGGUAACGGCCCACCAAGGCGAAGAUCGGUAUCCGGCCUGAGAGGGCGCACGGACACACUGGAACUGAAACACGGUCCAGACUCCUACGGGAGGCAGCAGUGGGGAAUUUUGCGCAAUGGGGGAAACCCUGACGCAGCAACGCCGCGUGGAGGAUGAAGCCCCUUGGGGUGUAAACUCCUUUCGACCAAGACGAUAAUGACGGUACUGGUGGAAGAAGCACCGGCUAACUCUGUGCCAGCAGCCGC